rnacentral:rRNA from 1 species
CGGCCCAGACUCCUACGGGAGGCAGCAGUGGGGAAUAUUGCACAAUGGGGGAAACCCUGAUGCAGCCAUGCCGCGUGUGUGAAGAAGGCCUUCGGGUUGUAAAGCACUUUCAGCGAGGAGGAAAGGUUGAUGCCUAAUACGUAUCAACUGUGACGUUACUCGCAGAAGAAGCACCGGCUAACUCCGUGCCAGCAGCCGCGGUAAUACGGAGGGUGCAAGCGUUAAUCGGAAUUACUGGGCGUAAAGCGCACGCAGGCGGUUGGAUAAGUUAGAUGUGAAAGCCCCGGGCUCAACCUGGGAAUUGCAUUUAAAACUGUCCAGCUAGAGUCUUGUAGAGGGGGGUAGAAUUCCAGGUGUAGCGGUGAAAUGCGUAGAGAUCUGGAGGAAUACCGGUGGCGAAGGCGGCCCCCUGGACAAAGACUGACGCUCA